rnacentral:rRNA from 1 species
UACGAAGGGGGGCUAGCGUUGCUCGGAAUGACUGGGCGUAAAAGGGCGCGUAGGCGGCUCAUACAGUCAGGCGUGAAAUUCCUGGGCUCAAACCUGGGGGACUGCGCUUGAGACGUGUGGGGCUUUGAGUGGGGGAAGAGGGUCGUGGAAUUCCCAGUGUAGAGGUGAAAUUCGUAGAUAUUGGGGAAGAACACCGGUGGCGAAGGCGGCGACCUGGUCCUUGACUGACGCUGGAGGCGCGAAAGCGUGGGGGAGCAAAACAGG